AAAACUGGGCCCAUAAUAAAAAAUCUAAGUACAUGUUUAGAUUCAGCAUAUCAAAGAACCCCAAGAAUUUAAUUUUUGUUAAAAUCAAACUUAGUUUAAUUUUGGACCCUUUGGACCUUAAUAUAGACCAAUUUGAAAAUGGGACCAAAAAUUAAGAAUCUACAUACACAGUUAGAUUCGGCAUAUCAAAGAACCCCAAUUAUUCAAUUUUUGAUGAAUUCAAACAAAGUUUAAUUUUGGACCCUUUGGGCCCCUUAUUCCUAAACUGUUGGGACCAAAACUCCCAAAAUCAAUCCCAACCUUCCUUUUAUGGUCAUAAACCUUGUGUUUAAAUUUCAUAGAUUUCUUUUUACUUAUACUUAAGUUAUGGUGCGAAAACCAAGAAAAUGCUUAUUUGGGCCCCUUUUUGGCCCCUAAUUCCUAAACUGUUGGGACCUCAACUACCAAAAUCAAUCC
rnacentral:lncRNA from 1 species